UACAGAGGUCUCAAGCGUUGUUCGGAAUUACUGGGCGUAAAGGGUUUGUAGGUGGCCGGCUAAGUCAGACGUGAAAUCCCUCAGCUUAACUGGGGAACUGCGUCUGAAACUGAUCGGCUCGAGUGCAGGAGAGGAACGCGGAAUUCCAGGUGUAGCGGUGAAAUGCGUAGAUAUCUGGAGGAACACCGGUGGCGAAGGCGGCGUUCUGGACUGCAACUGACACUGUAAAACGAAAGCCAGGGGAGCAAACGGG
rnacentral:rRNA from 1 species